rnacentral:rRNA from 1 species
AUGUACGAGUACGACCCUGGAGGCAGCUCCUCGUCCCGGCCGCACGGCAAGGAGGAGCUGAAGCCGGAAGUGGUUCUCUACACGGCGUCCGCGUCCGCCGACCUCUACUCCUUGCGCGCCCUGCUGCGGGGUUACGGCCUGGCCAUGGACGAGCGCCAUGUGUCCAGGAGCAACAAAGCGCACCACGGCGAGCUCAAGUGGUUGCUUGCGGCUCGGGCCUUCGUCUUCUCCCUCCCGCAGCUCCUCGUGGGCGGCCCUAAAGAUGUUAGGCAGCUGCACCGGGCCGGCGGGCUGCGGCCUCUCCUCGACGGCACCCCAAGGCCGUACGCCGCCUUGGUCUGCCAAGCCUGUAAGAGGGUCGGCUCCGAGCCCUGCCCAAAGUGCAGCGAGUCCCGCAACAAGAUUCUGGAUCACGGCGUUAUUGCCGACGAGCAGGAGAAGGUUGUCCUUUUUUAUCCAACCCAAGACCUUAGAGAGGUCUCCGCAAAAUUUGGGGCUGCAGCUGCUGAUCUAGAGUAUGUCUCCAGUAAUCAUCCUAUAAUUGACGUGCAACUGGUGGAUUCUGGUUCCCAUGGUGAUAAAAGGAUAUCAGUAAGGUCACCGGAGUCCACUUCCUGCCCGUUGCAUGUUCCAGGAGCAGGAGCCGGUGGAGAGGUCUCAUGGGGCAAUAUCAUUGGUGUGAUAGGUCAUGACCUCUUAAUCCAUUGCCUCCACCGCCUCUCCAGGUGGGAAUAUGGCGCCAUCGCCUCCCUCAACCGUGAUUUCAAUUCGGUGGUUCGCAGCGGAGACAUCUACCGCCUGCGUCGCAAGAAUGGGGUCACAGAGCACUGGCUCUACCUCUCCUGCAAUAAUAAUCCCCACAAGUGGAAGGCUUAUGACCCGUCCACUGGGCGCUGGAUCCAAGUGCCCAAGAUGCCACCGACUCAAAGCUCCUACUGGGAUUCGCUUGCUGUAGGAACCGAACUGCUGGUGUUUGGGGGCUACGGAAGGGUUGCCUUGAGAUAUAGCAUUCUUACCAAUUCAUGGACAUGGCUGGCUGAUGUGAUGAACAACCUGCGGUACUGGUUUGGGUCAGCAAGUGUCGGUGAAAAGGCGUAUGUCGCGGGAGGCAAGGAUUCUUCUUCUGGUAAUGUAUUAAGCUCUGCAGAGAUGUAUGACUCCGAGAAAUAUACUUGGACACCCCUUCCAAGCAUGAAUAGGGCUAGGUACGGAUGCUCUGGUGCGUUCAUGGAUGGCAAGUUCUAUGUGAUCGGUGGUGUUAGCAGUAGGCACGAGGUAUUGACAUGCGGUGAGGAGUAUGACUUGAACCGGCGGUCAUGGAGGGUCAUCGACAACAUGUCUCAGGGCCUCAACGAGACAAUCAUGGGGGCUCCUCUGCUACUUGCAGUUGUAAACAGUGAGCUUUAUGCUGCUGAUUACAGAGAGAAUAAUGAUUUGAAGCAGUAUGAUAAGCUGGACAACAAGUGGAUCACUCUUGGCAAAUUGCCUGUACGGUCUAAGUACAAAGAUGGCUGGGACAUGGGUUUCCGAGCAUGUGGUGACCGGCUGAUUGUUAUUGGGCCUCCAAACAAUUCUACUGAUGAAAAGGAGUCGAUAGAGAAAGAGAUGCUGCAGAAGCAGCGAGCAAAGGGUUUCUCGGCGGCUACAGCCAAAUAUUCAGAGUUCAGAAAACAGAGCAAAAGCAGAGGAAGCGACAUGAAAAUAUUCAGAGUUGAGAAAACAGAGCCAAAGCAGAGGUUGCCACAUGCAAGUAUUCAGAGUUCGAAGCAGAUGCAGUCAUCAGCAUCAUUGGAAGAUGAAGUUUCAUGUAAUGUGGAAGCAUCUGUAUCCCUGUACGGCAGAAUUACAGCAAAACAGCAGGUGAGGGGUGUUGGCUUGUGCAUUCUCCCAAGCAACCGGCCAUGCUAUUACUGGGCAUUGCUGCUGCCCUGUAACGACAGAGUUAGCAACGUUGAAGUCUCAACGAUCCAUGAAAGCAGCACUGCCGAUCUGCACGCGCUGUUUGACUUCAAGCAGGGCAUCACCAUUCACCGACGAUCCACGAGGAGCCUUGGGCAGCUGGAGAAGUACCACCCACUUCUGUCAAUGGCGUCGGCCAAAAUGCUAGUCAUGGAGACGGAGCGACCCAAAGUGCUCGCCUCUCUCGCCGCACUUCUACUGCUGCUGCUGAUCACGGUCGGCGCGCUCGUGCCGGACACUGGAGUACAAGCGAGGGCACUCCUUGUUUGGAAAGCCAGCCUCAGCAACCAGAGUCAGCACGCCCUGAGGUCCUGGGAGAACACGUCGGCGCUCUGCAGCUGGCACGGCGUCAGCUGCACAGUGCACCAGCGCCGGCCCGUGAUCAGCGGCAUCUUCCUGAGGGGGAUGCAGCUUAGAGGGACGUUGGAGUUGCUGAACUUCACGGUGCUGAUGACGCUGACAAGUCUCGACCUCUCUCACAACCAGCUCUCCGGGGGCAUCCCUCCCGGCAUCAAGAUUCUCGAGGGCCUCCAAAGUCUGCUCCUGCAAGGCAACCAGAUAAGAGGCUCAACACAAUUAGAUAAAAUGAGUAGUAAUCUUGUGACCCUCAACUUGUCAAUCAAUUACUUAGUUGGUCACAUCCCUUCUGAAAUAGGCCACCUAACUCACUUAGUUACAUUAGAUCUGUCAAGCAAUAAUCUUUCCGGCUCAAUCCCAAGCAACAUCGGUGGUUUGACAAAACUCGCCACCUUGAACCUUUGCCAAAAUGAACUUUCAGGGCAAAUUCCACAAGAAUUAGGUUACCAAGUGAACUUAGAGGUCUUGGAUCUUAGUGAAAACACACUCUCUGGUUCCAUCCCAGACAUCUUAGGGAAUUUGACAAAACUCAACAGCUUGUACCUUUGGGACAACAAACUUUCCGGAAAAAUUCCACAGGAAUUAGGUUACCUUGUGAACUUAGAGGGUUUGUCUCUUCAAAAAAACACACUCUCAGGUUUCAUUCCAAGAAAUUUAUGUAAUUUGACCAAGCUCACUUUCUUACGCCUUUGGGAGAACAGACUUUCUGGUCAAAUUCCACAAGAAUUAGGUAACCUUGUGAAGUUAGAGAAUUUGGCUCUUCAAGAAAACACACUCUCUGGUUCUAUCCCAAUAACCGUAGGGAAUUUGACAAACCUCACUCUCUUGUACCUUUACAAGAACCAACUGUCAGGACCUAUACCUCAAGGAAUUGUCAAGUUAAUGUGUCUGAUUAAGUUGGACCUCGCUUUUAACAACCUAUCAGGCGCCUUGCCAUUCAACCUUUGUGUGGGAGGUCAGCUACAACAUUUGGCUGCUACUGGCAACAACCUGGUUGGACCCUUACCAUCAAGCUUGCUAAGUUGUAAGAGCCUAGUAAGGGUUCGACUUGAACGAAAUAACCUUGAAGGAGAUAUCACCGGGAUGGGAGCUUAUCCAAAUCUUCUCUAUAUUGAUGUCAGUUCAAAUAAAUUGUUCGGCAGAUUAUCUCAUCUUUGGGGUGAGUGCUACAAACUUACUGUGUUACGUGCAUCAAACAAUAAUAUAACUGGAGUAAUACCAUCAAGUAUAGGAAAAUUAACUCAGCUGGGGAUACUUGAUGUUUCAUCAAACAAGCUUGAAGGACAGAUUCCGAGAGAAAUCAGCAAUGUAACGAUGUUGUUUAACCUGAGCCUUUCUGGUAACUUGCUCGAGGGAAAUAUGCCACAAGAAAUUGGAUCACUGAACAACUUGGAGUAUCUAGAUUUGUCAUCAAACAACCUAACUGGACAAAUACCAAGAUCAAUUGAGCACUGCCUAAAGAUUCACUUUCUAAAGUUGAGCCACAAUCACCUGAAUGGUACAAUUCCUAUCGAACUUGGGAUGUUAGUAAACCUACAAGGUAUGUUGGAUCUAAGUGACAAUUCAAUUGUUGGCUCUAUUCCAAGUUUGUUAGGCGGUCUUCGUAUGCUUGAAGCCUUGAAUCUUUCUCACAAUGCACUGAACGACAGCAUUCCACCAUCAUUUCGAAGCAUGACCAGUCUCCUAUCGAUGGAUGUGUCAUACAACAAACUAGAAGGAUCAGUGCCACAUACUAGGUUUUUUGAAGAAGCUCCAAUCAUAUGGUUCAGGAAUAAUAAGAAAUUGUGUGGUGUUGUGAAAGUAACAUGGCAUUGCAAAAGGAAGAAAAAUGAGAUAGAAACAUCAAAUGAAGUACAACAGACCAUGAUGUUCGGCAUCUGGAACUUUGAUGGGGAAGAUGUGUACAGGAAAAUUGUUGAUGCCACAAACAAUUUCAGCGAUGCUUUUUGCAUCGGAUCUGGAGGGAAUGGAUCUAUCUAUAGGGCUCAGUUACCAACAGGUGAAUUAUUUGCAGUGAAGAAGAUCCAUGUGGCAGAAGACAAUGAGCAAUUUAACCGUGAAAUACACUCAUUGGUGCACAUUCGACAUCGCAACAUUGCAAAGUUAUUUGGUUACUGCUCUGCAACUCGGGGAAGAUUCCUUGUAUAUGAAUACAUGGACAGAGGGAGCUUAGGAGCAACUUUAAAUUGUAUGGGAACUGUAGUUGAAAUGGAUUGGGCGAGGAGGUUAAAUAUUGCAAGGGAUGUUGCUCAUGCUUUGUCAUACAUGCAUCACGGUUGCUUUGCACCGAUAGUCCACGGAGAUAUAAAGAGCAACAAUGUUUUGCUUGAUCGGGAAUUUAAAGCUUGCAUCUCGGAUUUUGGUCUAGCAAAAAUACUAGAUGUGAAUGGGUCAAAUUACACAAAUCUUGCCGGGACAAAAGGAUAUCUUGCCCCAGAGCUUGCAUACACAACAAGGGUGACCGAGAAGUGUGAUAUUUACAGCUUCGGAGUGCUGGUUCUAGAGUUGUUCAUGGGACAGCAUCCAGGUGAUUUCCUUUCAUCCAUUGUCGAAAAAACUACAUUACUUCAGAAUUUGCUGGACACACGGCUCCCACUCCCGCGUGCUGAGAUCGCGGGUGAGAUGUUUCAAAUGAUCGUUGUCGCUGUCCGGUGCAUAGAGCCUGAUCCAUCACACCGUCCAACGAUGCAACAAGUACUCAAGGUGCUCUCAACAGUUGAACGAUCACCUAGUGAUCAUCUUGAUUAUCUCCAAACCGGCAUUGUCAUCCCUGCCUGCUGGUCAUGA